GAUGAAGAACGUAGCGAAAUGCGAUAAGUAAUGUGAAUUGCAGAAUUCAGUGAAUCAUCGAAUCUUUGAACGCACAUUGCGCCCUCCAGUAUUCUGGCGGGCAUGCCUGUUCGAGCGUCAUUUCAACCAUCAAGCCCCCGGCUUGUGUUGGGGACCUGCGGCUGCCGCAGGCCCUGAAAAGCAGUGGCGGGCUCGCUGUCACACCGAGCGUAGUAGCAUACAUCUCGCUCUGGGCGUGCUGCGGGUUCCGGCCGUUAAACCACCUUCAUAACCCAAGGUUGACCUCGGAUCAGGUAGGAAGACCCGCUGAACUUAAGCAUAUCAAUAAGCGGAGGA
rnacentral:misc_RNA from 1 species